rnacentral:rRNA from 1 species
AUUGAACGCUAGCGGGAUGCUUUACCCAUGCAAGUCGAACGAGUGGCGGACGGGUGAGUAAUAUAUCGGAACGUGCCCAGUAGCGGGGGAUAACUACUCGAAAGAGUGGCUAAUACCGCAUACUCAUGGAGCGGCCGAUAACGGUUUAGUUAGUUGGGGGGGUAAAGGCUCACCAAGGCCACGAUCCGUAGCUGGGUUGAGGGGACGACACGCCAACCUGGGACUGAGGAACGGCCCAGACUCCUACGUGAGGCAGCAGUGGGGAAUUUUGGUCAAUGGGGGAAACCCUGAUCCAGCCAUCCCGCGUGUAUGAGAAGGCCUUCGGGUUGUAAAGUACUUUUGGCAGAGAAGCGGUAUCUGCAGAAUAAGCACCGGCUAACUACGUGCCAGCAGCCGCGGUAAUUC